GUGAGUGGAUCCAGAAGGCUUUCAGGAGAUGUUUUGCCUUUAAAUAAGGCAGCUCCAGACAAAAAAAUCCCAUAUGGACAUUGACCCUGACUGCAAAGCACAGUACAGCUGUAUAGCUGAGACACAGAACAGUCUUCAUAAGAUAGAAAUGCUUAACAAAAAAAUCUGUAAUGACUUUUAGGCCUGCUCAAAGCACACACUGCAGUGUCCUAAAGCCAGCAGUACAUCAGACAAGCUCUUCUUUGACAAUGCAGAGGAAACAUCAUGUUAGUGAAAAGGUGUAGAAGUCUGGCAAGGUAUAACAAAGAGGUACAGUAAAAUCUGGCAUGUUUUAAA